AACACUGUUAACCUGCGGUACCUGCGGAGGGAUCAUCAAAGAAUAACUUUUUAUGAAAAAGUGGGGGGAUAAAAAAAGGGAGGGGAGGAAUUUCUUCUCUCUCUCUCUCUUUCUUUCUCCUCUCUUUUUCUCAAACAAAUGAUCACAACUAAUAAGGAAAAAAUAUUUGGUUUGGUUGGUGGGGGGGAGAGAGAGAGAAAAUCUUUGAAAAAGUGCUUGCCUGAUAAUUUGAUGGUUGGA
rnacentral:misc_RNA from 1 species